GUUACUAUAGUAUAAAAUAUUACCCCACAUUUUCAUUGUGAAAAUAAGAAUUUAUUUCUUUAGUAAUU
rnacentral:tRNA from 1 species